UACGGUAGGAUGCAAGCGUUAUCCGGAUUUACUGGGCGUAAAGCGCGCGCAGGCGGCACUCUAAGUACGUCGUGAAAUAUCCCGGCUCAACCGGGAGGGUGCGAUGUAGACUAGGGAGCUAGAGGUCGGUAGAGGGGGGUGGAAUUGCUGGUGUAGCGGUGAAAUGCGCAGAUAUCAGGAGGAACACCGGUGGCGAAGGCGGGACUCUGGGCCGAUACUGACGCUGAGGAGCGAAAGCGUGGGGAGCGAACAGG
rnacentral:rRNA from 1 species